AAAUAGAUAAAUAAAUAAACGAAACAAAAAUGUUAUGGAAAUCUCAACCUGAAAUUGUAUAUACGUAUCGUAUUUUUUAUUAUAAAUUUCAGUAUUAAUCAGACGUUGACACACCUCCAUCUGGUAGUUUCCGCCUGGCAGUGAGUUGAAUAACGUGAGUGGAGGGUACGAGCAGCGAGCAAGGACUGCCUGAUGACUGGGAGAGAACAUGUGAGCCUUCUUCAAAACAUUGCAAGAUCUGGGAGAUUUAGACAUUCUGGAGAGGCCUGAUUCACAAUCCCACUUCUUUUGUGUCCAGCCUUUACAGAGAAGAAACAGGAAGAAAAGAAAGAGCAAAAGAGAUGAUAGAAACAGAAAAAAAGGAAGA